GAGGUGGGCCAGGCGACCGCGGGGCGCCCCGGCAACGGGACGCCAUGAGGAAAGUCCGGGCUCCACAGGGCAGGAUGCCGGCUAACGGCCGGGCGGGGUAACCCGACGGAAAGCGCCGCAGAAAAGAAGACUCCCACUGGCGAAGGAGGCGCCGCGCGCGCCGAAACGCAAAGGGAAAAGCUGAAACGGUGGUGUAAGAGACCACCAGCGUCGUGGCAACACGGCGGCUUGGCAAGCCCCAUCCGGAGCAAACGCAAAUAGGAGCGCCAUGGUGUGGCCCGCACUGCGCUCGGGUUGCGCGCUUGAGGCGGACGGUGACGUCCGUCCUAGAUAAAUGGCCGCCCACGACAGAACCCGGCUUAUCGGCCCACCUCGCAC
rnacentral:RNase_P_RNA from 2 species